GACGAACGCUGGCGGCGUGCCUAAUACAUGCAAGUAGAACGCUGAAGGAGGAGCUUGCUUCUCUGGAUGAGUUGCGAACGGGUGAGUAACGCGUAGGUAACCUGCCUGGUAGCGGGGGAUAACUAUUGGAAACGAUAGCUAAUACCGCAUAACAGUAGAUAUCGCAUGAUAUCUACUUGAAAGGUGCAAUUGCAUCACUACCAGAUGGACCUGCGUUGUAUUAGCUAGUUGGUGAGGUAACGGCUCACCAAGGCGACGAUACAUAGCCGACCUGAGAGGGUGAUCGGCCACACUGGGACUGAGACACGGCCCAGACUCCUACGGGAGGCAGCAGUAGGGAAUCUUCGGCAAUGGACGGAAGUCUGACCGAGCAACGCCGCGGGAGUGAAGAAGGUUUUCGGAUCGUAAAGCUCUGUUGUAAGAGAAGAACGAGUGUGAGAGUGGAAAGUUCACACCGUGACGGUAUCUUACCAGAAAGGGACGGCUAACUACGUG
rnacentral:rRNA from 1 species